rnacentral:rRNA from 1 species
AGCAGCCGCGGUAAUUCCAGCUCCAAUAGCGUAUAUUAAAGUUGUUGCAGUUAAAAAGCUCGUAGUUGAAUUUCGGGAUCAAAGGAUCGGUCAUGCCUUGGUAUGUACUGGUUUUAUUGGUUCUCACCUUCUAAAGAACCAUAAUGUCAUUCAUUUGAUGUUAUGGGGAAUUAGGACUGUUACCUUGAAAAAAUUAGAGUGUUUAAAGCAGGCUUACGCUUGAAUACAUUAGCAUGGAAUAAUGAAAUAGGACAUCAGAUUCUAUUUUGUUGGUUUCUAGGAUCGAUGUAAUGAUUAAUAGGGAUAGUUGGGGGCAUUAGUAUUCAAUUGUCAGAGGUGAAAUUCUUGGAUUUAUUGAAGACUAACUACUGCGAAAGCAUUUGCCAAGGAUGUUUUCAUUAAUCAAGAACGAAAGUUAGGGGAUCGAAGACGAUCAGAUACCGUCGUAGUCUUAACCAUAAACUAUGCCGACUAGGGAUCGGAUGAUGUUAAUUUUUAAUGA